CCUACGGGUGGCUGCAGUGGGGAAUAUUGGACAAUGGGCGAAAGCCUGAUCCAGCCAUGCCGCGUGUGUGAAGAAGGCCUUCGGGUUGUAAAGCACUUUCAGUGGGGAAGAAAGCCUUGGGGCUAAUACCCUCGAGGAAGGACAUCACCCACAGAAGAAGCACCGGCUAACUCCGUGCCAGCAGCCGCGGUAAUAAGGAGGGUGCGAGCGUUAAUCGGAAUUACUGGGCGUAAAGCGCGCGUAGGCGGUCUGAUAAGCCGGUUGUGAAAGCCCCGGGCUCAACCUGGGAACGGCAUCCGGAACUGGCAGGCUAGAGGGCAGGAGAGGAAGGUAGAAUUCCCGGUGUAGCGGUGAAAUGCGUAGAGAUCGGGAGGAAUACCAGUGGCGAAGGCGGCCUUCUGGACUGACACUGACGCUGAGGUGCGAAAGCGUGGGUAGCAAACAGGAUUAGAUACCCCUGUAGUC
rnacentral:rRNA from 1 species